CUCGCAACUUCAUCGCACAUCUUUCACGCUCUGUUUCGGUCAAAACAGGGAAAAUGCAGAACAUCGGGGGCGAGGGACCUACCUGAUCGGCUUCAGAGACGUCGACGGGAAGGUCGUUGGGCGGACCAUAGAUGCUGCAGAUUCCCUUCAGGCGUUCGGACUUCUCCCUUCCUCGGAUGGCCUUUUCUUGGUCUUCAACUCCCUCUCUAGAGCCAGCCGCUCUCCGGUUUCAGAUGAAGAGAACUAACUGGCUUUGAUUAGACUAUGAAGAGCUUUUGCCCUGCCACCUUUCAAAGUAAUAUGUCAAAGUAAAGUUGAGAUUGCGGCAAGGAGACUAUGGGAGUUCUCUCUGAGGAACUUGUUACUAAUCCAAUAUACACGAGGCAAAAUAAUCUAGGAAUUCCUGUCGAAAUUCGUUAUACAAAAUUCCGGGGCAGGUUGCAUAACAGAACGGAUUAAAGAAAUUCGCAAUCUCGCCUAAGGCAAUACUCAAUGCGGACAAGCUAUCCAUGAAAAACAAUGUUAAUGAUAUCUGAAUGUGGAAAAUGCAAACGCAAAGCCGUGCAAUGUGGAUAUUUUUUUGACAGAUUCAAAUAAUGAUUUUAUGUGAAGUGCAAGACAUACUUUUGGGUGAAAAAAUUUAGGUGUCAUGAGGGUGUUCAAAUGAAUUGAAAGUUGGGUGUGGGAUCAGUUGGUCUCUUAACUCACCUUCAACACUAACCAUCUCUUUUUACCAUUCUUCUG
rnacentral:lncRNA from 1 species